GAUGAACGCUGGCGGCGUGCCUAAUACAUGCAAGUCGAGCGAACAGACGAGGAGCUUGCUCCUCUGACGUUAGCGGCGGACGGGUGAGUAACACGUGGAUAACCUACCUAUAAGACUGGGAUAACUUCGGGAAACCGGAGCUAAUACCGGAUAAUAUAUUGAACCGCAUGGUUCAAUAGUGAAAGACGGUCUUGCUGUCACUUAUAGAUGGAUCCGCGCCGCAUUAGCUAGUUGGUAAGGUAACGGCUUACCAAGGCAACGAUGCGUAGCCGACCUGAGAGGGUGAUCGGCCACACUGGAACUGAGACACGGUCCAGACUCCUACGGGAGGCAGCAGUAGGGAAUCUUCCGCAAUGGGCGAAAGCCUGACGGAGCAACGCCGCGUGAGUGAAGAAGGUCUUCGGAUCGUAAAACUCUGUUAUUAGGGAAGAACAAAUGUGUAAGUAACUAUGCACGUCUUGACGGUACCUAAUCAGAAAGCCACGGCUAACUACGUA
rnacentral:rRNA from 1 species